AAGACUAUAGACCUGCGGAGUACCUGCGGAGGGAUCAUUACUUAUUGGGGUCUAAAGAAAGCAAUUUCUUUGGGCCUAAAAACUCAUCCACAGGGUGUGCAAUGUCUUUUAUAUAUUUGUGCCUGGUUGGGUCGGCCACCACUUGAGCUUAUCACGGAUGCCGCGGGGCGCUGUGAUAGCGGUCAAACUUUUUCCUUUUGGAAAGGGCGAGGCCCCUCUUGUAACGGGGACAAAGUUUUU
rnacentral:misc_RNA from 1 species